rnacentral:rRNA from 1 species
UGAGUAAUGUCUGGGAAACUGCCCGAUGGAGGGGGAUAACUACUGGAAACGGUAGCUAAUACCGCAUAACGUCUUCGGACCAAAGUGGGGGACCUUCGGGCCCCACACCAUCGGAUGUGCCCAGAUGGGAUUAGCUAGUAGGUGGGGUAACGGCUCACCUAGGCGACGAUCCCUAGCUGGUCUGAGAGGAUGACCAGCCACACUGGAACUGAGACACGGUCCAGACUCCUACGGGAGGCAGCAGUGGGGAAUAUUGCACAAUGGGCGCAAGCCUGAUGCAGCCAUGCCGCGUGUAUGAAGAAGGCCUUCGGGUUGUAAAGUACUUUCAGUGGGGAGGAAGGCGAAGAGGUUAAUAACCUUUUCGAUUGACGUUACCCGCAGAAGAAGCACCGGCUAACUCCGUGCCAGCAGCCGCGGUAAUACGGAGGGUGCAAGCGUUAAUCGGAAUUACUGGGCGUAAAGCGCACGCAGGCGGUCUGUCAAGUCGGAUGUGAAAUCCCCGGG